rnacentral:lncRNA from 1 species
UCUCGGCAGGGCCCGCCCUGGCCGCCCCGGGGGCCUCGGUGGCCGUGGCCGGGGCAGUGGCUGAGGUAGCGGCGUCCUCUCCGGCCGCGGGUGCGGCGAGGCUUGGCACAGGCGCUGGGGCGUCGGCGAGGCCCUCGGGAAGUGGCCUAGGCCGGCUUGCGUCUUCACCGUCGUCCUGUCCUGGGGUCCCCGAGCAUAGUGGCUGUGCCUUCGCCUUCUCCGCCGGCUGCGUCGCUUCUUCCCGGUCUGCCGGGGCUGCGGCCACCUCUGCCAGCCCUCCCUGAGACUUGGUGGCCACUAUGUUGCCACCUGGCUCCUCGGCGUCGGUGGCUUCCACGCCGUCACAGCUGUCACCUUCCGAGCUGGGUGCAGCGCGGCUACUUCGAGCUGAAGGCCAUUUCUACACAUCACAGGAGGAGGAAACCCCAUUAGGCUAACAUCCAUCCAAGGAGCAUCAUACUGUCAGACCACCUCGUUGUGCUAUUAACCUCCCGGCACACAACUGCCAAGCUAACAGACGGCUCUCACUCCUGAGGCGGCAAGACUUCACAUGCACUAAGACAAAGUCUCGUGUAGCACAGACUACUUUUGAUUUCACUCUGUAGCUGGGGAUGACCUUGAAUGCCUCAUCUUCUGGCCUCCACAGGAUCCUGUGUCCUGGUAGAACGUCUUGAAUGUGAUUGAGGUGCCUACAGCACUAUCCAACAACACUGGGUGAUGGCAGGGUCAGCUUCCUAGAGCCGAACAGUGACUGGAGAAGGUGUGGGCUCUAGUGGGUAAGUGGUAAAAGUCAGCGAGGGACAUAAAGGGCAGUGACACUGAGUUCCCGAGUAACAACAGCGUUGCCACACACCCUGCCUGAAGAUCUGGGAGAUCAAGGAGAAGAGGAUGUUUCCAGGCAGUACCUUGACAAGGCUCAUGCAAGACUCAAGCACACCAUUUAAGUGAAGAUGACGUGGAACUCCUGAUCCUCUUGUCCCCCGUCCUGUUGUGAUUAUGGAGCUCGGUGCAUUAUGCCUGCUGGGCAAGCAUUCUAACUGAGCCACAUCCUAUUCCCAAGUUUUUUCAACUUAAAGAAAACAAAAUACUGAGAAAUGGCCAUUUCUUCUGAGAACUAAUGGCUAGAGGGUCAGGGUGGUAAAGAAGAGAAAGCAACCUCAGAUUCUUGUGACCAAUUCUCCA